CCCGAGUCUGGAUCCAAUCACAUCUGGGUUUGUUCUAUGGAUUCAAAAAACCUCUUUGUGCACGUUAGUGUGUUUCAAAGCUUGGUUACAAGUGAAAACCAGAACCCAGCUGUGCUUUGAGGGAUGCGCGUGCACGACUCAAGAGAAUGCUACAGAACUGAGACUUUUGGAAACUGCAGCCGUGUUCGUGGGACAGAAUCUGGUUAGAACUGCAUCAACAGGGACGCGCAAACACAGACGAAUGGGAACCCUGUAAGUACAGUAAGCCUGGUGUGUGUGUGUGUGUGUGUGUGUGUGUGUGUGUGUUAGUCACCUCAAUCGCCAUCUGGAACUGUUCGUGUUCCCUCUGCAGCUGCUCGGCCUCCGACAGCGAGCUGGCGUUCACCAUGCUGGCGUUCAGCAUGGACUCGCCGUUUCGGAUCCAGCUGAGCACCUACGGGGAGAGCGGCAAAGGUUCAGGAACAGGUGGCGCAGCUGCAGACUUUGCUCCAGCCGUGUGUGCGUGUGCUGCGCGCUUUGCUCCACCUCCUGCUGCUUUUCAUGGAGGAACUCCAGCAGCUCCUGAACCUGAGAGGCCAGGUCCACGUCCUUCUCCCCCGUCAGCUCGAUCCCUGAGGAAAGAAACGCCGUCAUGCAAUGGCGCCGCGUGCGCAGCCUCGUGCACGCCACUGUCACACCGUCUAAACCCGAUUCUGUAGGUUCCUCUCACAACAAAUGAAAAUUUACAGAAUCAAAGCAAAUUGAGCUUUCUCAAGUUCUGCAUAGCUUCGUGUGUCUCUGAUUCACCUCCAGACAGGAAGUGUUAGCAUAUCCAAAAUGUAGCUUAUAAAAAAUGUUUUACGGUUUCCUGCAUUGCUUUGUAAUAUUUAGAGUACAGCAAAAAAAAAAGUGUCAAAGUUGGACUUUCACAGUUCUUCCACAGUUCAAUUAAAUCAGGAAGUAUGCCUAAUAAUGAAUAAUCACUGCUAAUUUGGGCUAAUGAAUCACAAUUAAUACUUUGGGUGUUUUUUUUUGUUGGGUCUGGUGGUGUUUAGAGGACUUUUGGGCGGCAAAAUCACGACUCUAUCUGGCAACACUGGAGGAGAUCUGAUUACUUCUUACUUUUUUGAAUGAGUGCCACCAAAAUGUAACUGUAGGAAUACAAUGACAGUAAAAAAAACGAAAAAACGUUGAAUAUUUUACAAUUAUUGAUGAUUUAAAGCCAGUUUUUAAAAUGGAGCGCAGAUAUCAGAGUGGCUGUGAAAACUGGAAAAGGCAAAGAGAAAGAAAGAAAUUCAUUGCCAGACUUCCAAAAGUGCUGGAAGACAGAAAAGCGGCAGCUGAACAUGCAGAAUGUAAAAUCUAAAUGUUAAGGUGGUGAAUGACUAGAUUCAAUGCAGACGAUGUGAAAAAACGGUACGUCUGUGGCGUUUUUUUUCUUUUUUUAAUCCACAGAGCGGGUUUGUUGGUUUGUCAUUCGGCCAAAGUGUCCGAGCUCUGAGAGGAUGCAGCUGGGAAUUCAACAAGGACACACUUGAACCUCCAAAUUGCCUGAAAGCUAAUGAGUUCUUGAGAGCAGCUGAAGAGGUGGAGGCUUUUAGCAGCACAGGGCCCCACUUCAGUGGCUUUUAUUCCUCACACUAAUAACCCUGAAGGGGUUUUUUUCUACCCCUGAAGGGGUUAAUGGAAACAGUCGUUCAUCAUUCAUCGGCGUACCUGAGGCCUGGACCUCCAUGAUGUACUGGUGCAGGUCCUGACCCUGCUGCAUCACUUCAUAGAUCAUGUUGUUAACGGCUGCCUUCCUCUCCGCGUGACGUUUCAGUCGCUGCUCGGCGAGGCUGAUGUCCUCCGCGCUGCCGGAGGAGGCGCCGCUGCCGCCGCUUCCUCCGCCAGAGCGACUGGCGUCGUUCAGCUGACGAGUCAGAUCCUCGUUCCAGGCGUCCAACUCUGCAGUGACCUGCAAUUUAACCAUGUGAGAAAACGCACGAAAACAAUCGGAACCUCUCCUCUCCUGCAUCAGGCUGGUGAUGCAUUCAAGUGCAUGUAACCAAAAGCCUCCAGUUCGCCCACCUCGAUGGUGUACUGCUCAAAGAUGCGUAGCUGCAGAAAAAUAUCCAGCUUGAUCUUCCGCUCGUGGAACAGCUCCUCCAUCUGGCCCUGGGCCUCAUCCAGCUGCUGCAGCACCCCCUGGAUGUGAGCGAUGGAACUGCAGUGUGGCGUCUUGUUGGUGGUGAUGGCCGCAUCUCUGCAAAAAUAAGAUUUACAACUUUCAGAAAAGUUGCUAGCGCGUUUUUUGACCAAUUUUAGACUUUAUUUUAAUAGAAUCAAUAAAACUACAGCUGUGUUUGAAUAAAAUGGAUUUCAUUGAAUCCACUUUCCUGAGUCCAAUCAAACCAUUUUUCUUUAAAGGUAAGGUCAGGUAAACUUUAUAGUCUGGGCUACAGAGCUACUUAACAGUAUAACAUCAUUCACACAUCAUGUACAUAGAGUGAGAAUAAUAAAAGUACAUAAGACAAAUACAUAAUAAAUAAUAAAAACCGGAGUGGAAAUGGAAUUUGCUGUUUGUAAUAAGAAAUAAUGGGUAGGUUUGGUAAUCUGGCAGGAAUUCACAGCCCUAAAUAAAGCUUUAGUCCCCAACUGCCCUUAUGGAGGGGUGUUACAUAAUUUUAACAUGACAUGUGCGCCGUCAAUGAGAUCUAAAAGUUAUAUAUCAGUGGUGCAUGCGUGAAAAGUCCAUUAGAGAUUCGUGGAGCGGUUGUGGGAUGCCACAUAUUUACACAUACAUCAAGCAAAAAUCCCACACGUAAUAAUUACCCCUAGUGCUAUCUUGUGGGGUCCAGAUGACCCCACUAGACAGUUCGCUGAACCUUUUUUCUUCGAUGAUUUGCGAUCUUCACUGGUGUCCAUGGAUGACAUAAAAUCUUUCCACCUUUAUCCACCUUUGUCAUGGUAGGGAGAACACGUCAAUGCAAGGGUGGGGUCAUCUGGGCCCCACAAGAUAGCACAAGGGUUAAAUAUAAACUACGUAAAAUGUGCGUAAACUGUAUAAUUCUAAACCGACCAAAAAUCUUUAACAGCUCAAAACUGAAUUUAAGUAAAGACCCGUCGGCCGAAACCCUCGACGGACAUCUGGGCACAUCGACGAACGCGAGAAACACUUAGGAAUUACGUAAAUCACACAUGGAUCACGAAAGACCAACAUUUUUCCUUUUUUCAACCCUGCCGACUG
rnacentral:lncRNA from 1 species